AGGUUAAGCCUGUGCACAAAGAGGACGUGAGGUAUACAGGACAUGGCUUUAGAGAUUCCACCUCUGCUGGUGUCUGUGAGGUACGUGUUGUUCACAUUGCUGUCAGCAGGUUUAAACUACCUGCCUUGAUGAGGUACAUGGAGGAGCUCUGAGAUGCACAAACACACAACAGUGUUCAGGAUGCUCACUACCCUGACUUUGGAAGCAUCAAAGUGUCAAGAUGGCAUCAUUUCAUCACAGAGCUGCCACAACACAGAACUCCAGCACAUGAUGAGGAACAUCCCACAGCAUGGAACAGUCCUCAACUCAACUCCCUGGAUGCAUCAAAAUCAGGUUCUGGAGAGGAACCUCAGCCUUGUGAAGCUGGAGUUAAAAUGAGCAAGAGGAGACUGCUGCUGGCAGAUGAGGACAUCUCCAGAGCUGCUUGUGUUCUCUGGCUCCUUGGGCACUGCAUCUACCAACAGCAGGAUUAAGGACUUCAGAAUCCAGGUUUUUAGGAGCUGUAAAGGCUGUGCUGUGCCUGUUAGAAGUGAUCUGAAUUCUGCCCUCAGGAGGAAGAAGCAUCCACAAAAUAUACCUCUACAAAUAAAAGGUACUGCAGCCUCUUAA